CUUCGGAAGGCCGGAGGGAGGGGGAGGCCUGUCAGUCUCGCGCGUUGCCUGGGCGAAGGGGGCGGAGCUUUGGCGUGGGGCGGCCAAUAGUGGGGGUGGCUGCGUGGGUCGCCAUGGGGACGGGGCUGUUCCCGGGGAGGCUGUGAUGGGUUGACAGGUGCGUGACAGUGGGAGCUGCUCUCGGCACAAGCAUGUACGGCAAAGGCAAGAGUAACAGCAGCGCCGUCCCGUCCGACAGCCAGGCCCGGGAGAAGUUAGCACUCUACGUAUAUGAAUAUCUGCUCCAUGUAGGAGCUCAGAAAUCAGCCCAAACAUUUUUAUCAGAGAUAAGAUGGGAAAAAAACAUCACAUUGGGGGAACCACCAGGAUUCUUACAUUCUUGGUGGUGUGUAUUUUGGGAUCUCUACUGUGCAGCUCCAGAGAGACGUGAAACAUGUGAACACUCAAGUGAAGCAAAAGCCUUCCAUGAUUACCCUUUUAUGUCACCUCGGUACCCUGGAGGUCCAAGGCCCCCAUUGAGGAUACCUAAUCAGGCACUUGGAGGUGUCCCAGGAAGUCAGCCAUUACUCCCCAGUGGAAUGGAUCCAACUCGACAACAAGGACAUCCAAAUAUGGGUGGGCCAAUGCAGAGAAUGACUCCUCCAAGAGGAAUGGUGCCCUUAGGACCACAGG
rnacentral:lncRNA from 1 species